rnacentral:tRNA from 1 species
GGGCGAUUAGCUCAGUUGGUAGAGCGCCCGGCUUACAUCCGGAAGGUCGCAGGUUCGAGCCCUGCAUCGCCCA